rnacentral:rRNA from 1 species
AAAUUGAAGAGUUUGAUCAUGGCUCAGAUUGAACGCUGGCGGCAGGCCUAACACAUGCAAGUCGAGCGGAAACGAGUUAUCUGAACCUUCGGGGAACGAUAACGGCGUCGAGCGGCGGACGGGUGAGUAAUGCCUAGGAAAUUGCCCUGAUGUGGGGGAUAACCAUUGGAAACGAUGGCUAAUACCGCAUGAUGCCUACGGGCCAAAGAGGGGGACCUUCGGGCCUCUCGCGUCAGGAUAUGCCUAGGUGGGAUUAGCUAGUUGGUGAGGUAAGGGCUCACCAAGGCGACGAUCCCUAGCUGGUCUGAGAGGAUGAUCAGCCACACUGGAACUGAGACACGGUCCAGACUCCUACGGGAGGCAGCAGUGGGGAAUAUUGCACAAUGGGCGCAAGCCUGAUGCAGCCAUGCCGCGUGUGUGAAGAAGGCCUUCGGGUUGUAAAGCACUUUCAGUCGUGAGGAAGGUAGUGUAGUUAAUAGCUGCAUUAUUUGACGUUAGCGACAGAAGAAGCACCGGCUAACUCCGUGCCAGCAGCCGCGGUAAUACGGAGGGUGCGAGCGUUAAUCGGAAUUACUGGGCGUAAAGCGCAUGCAGGUGGUUUGUUAAGUCAGAUGUGAAAGCCCGGGGCUCAACCUCGGAAUAGCAUUUGAAACUGGCAGACUAGAGUACUGUAGAGGGGGGUAGAAUUUCAGGUGUAGCGGUGAAAUGCGUAGAGAUCUGAAGGAAUACCGGUGGCGAAGGCGGCCCCCUGGACAGAUACUGACACUCAGAUGCGAAAGCGUGGGGAGCAAACAGGAUUAGAUACCCUGGUAGUCCACGCCGUAAACGAUGUCUACUUGGAGGUUGUGGCCUUGAGCCGUGGCUUUCGGAGCUAACGCGUUAAGUAGACCGCCUGGGGAGUACGGUCGCAAGAUUAAAACUCAAAUGAAUUGACGGGGGCCCGCACAAGCGGUGGAGCAUGUGGUUUAAUUCGAUGCAACGCGAAGAACCUUACCUACUCUUGACAUCCAGAGAACUUUCCAGAGAUGGAUUGGUGCCUUCGGGAACUCUGAGACAGGUGCUGCAUGGCUGUCGUCAGCUCGUGUUGUGAAAUGUUGGGUUAAGUCCCGCAACGAGCGCAACCCUUAUCCUUGUUUGCCAGCGAGUAAUGUCGGGAACUCCAGGGAGACUGCCGGUGAUAAACCGGAGGAAGGUGGGGACGACGUCAAGUCAUCAUGGCCCUUACGAGUAGGGCUACACACGUGCUACAAUGGCGCAUACAGAGGGCGGCCAACUUGCGAGAGUGAGCGAAUCCCAAAAAGUGCGUCGUAGUCCGGAUUGGAGUCUGCAACUCGACUCCAUGAAGUCGGAAUCGCUAGUAAUCGUGGAUCAGAAUGCCACGGUGAAUACGUUCCCGGGCCUUGUACACACCGCCCGUCACACCAUGGGAGUGGGCUGCAAAAGAAGUAGGUAGUUUAACCUUCGGGCUUUUUGUGUUGGUGUUUCAUAUUUCAGUGCAUCUUUUUGACCGACCGCUUGACGCAUAAAUUUCAUCUCUUCAUCAGUAAUACCUGACUGCGAGUAUUCAUUUAGCUCAUUUUC